GUAUGAAGCUCUCACUGAUGCUGAACAACCACACAGAUCGUUCGACCUCUACAGAUUGUCCUCUCAAAGUGCUGAUCAGAUCUUCCUUCGUAGGAGUGCUAGCUCGUGUUGAAGGCUCUAGAUGGCUGAUCCAAGUUCCUUUCUUCAGAUCUCUUAGACUCUUCCAGAUCAAAAGAUGAAGCUUUAUGAGAAAGUAGUGGUGUGGAAGAUUAGACAAGACUCACUCUUAUAUUUUCUUCUCACAAAAUCUAGAGUUGAAACCCUGGAACCCACAGCUCAUGCCCG
rnacentral:lncRNA from 1 species